rnacentral:rRNA from 1 species
GAAACCCAGCAUGAGUUAUGUCAUGUUAUCGAUAUGUGAAUACAUAGCAUAUCAGAAGGCACACCCGGAGAACUGAAACAUCUUAGUACCCGGAGGAAGAGAAAGAAAAUUCGAUUCCCUUAGUAGCGGCGAGCGAAACGGGAAGAGCCCAAACCAACAAGCUUGCUUGUUGGGGUUGUAGGACACUCUAUACGGAGUUACAAAGGACGACAUUAGACGAAUCAUCUGGAAAGAUGAAUCAAAGAAGGUAAUAAUCCUGUAGUCGAAAAUGUUGUCUCUCUUGAGUGGAUCCUGAGUACGACGGAGC